rnacentral:rRNA from 1 species
UGGAAGAAGUCGUCGAAGGUGGAAUCAAUAACUGGGGUGAAGUCGUAACAAGGUAGCCGUAUCGGAAGGGGCGGCUGGAUCACCUCCUUUCUAAGGAGA